AGAGCUCUAGUUCUGUCAUUAUUCAAAAUGUACCCACUCUAAACUGUAUAAAUCUAAUCACCCACCAGUACUAUUUUGAACUUUCUCGCUGAGUUGUUCCCGUAGCCGGCUGCGUAAUAAAUCUUCCUGUUUUUACUACGAACUUCUGAUCUGCUUCUUCCUGGGAUAACGGUCAUUUUACCUGUUUUUGGUAAUAUCUUGAUUAACCUACAAAUUGGCGCUGCGAGCAGGGUGGAUUUGUUUCCGGACCUCCGUGGGUUCCCCGACCGAUGCAAGAGGAGUGAGUACUUUGUUCUACCACCAUAUAGUUAGGCGAUUGGAAGGCAAACUAACGGAGGUCUGGAACGCUCCACCCAGUGGUACGUAACCUAUAAUAUAACUUGACCAGUGUAGAAGCAAUUAAUUGUUCGUGGUUAAAAGCUGUGUCUUCUUGUAACGUGUCUACUGUGAUGUUAUGUUUUAACUGAUUUUGUAUCAGCUACUGUUUGAAUGUACCAGCGCUGUAUAUGUAUUUGGAAUAUAGCUAUAUUGUGACAGGGUGAAGUUCAUCCUAACCUGAGGAGAGUGAGUUUUCAUGCCAAAAAAGGUGAAUACGUGGUUGCGUAGCUGCGGCAGGCUGAGUUUUUGGCCCGUGGCCCAGAGUGACUAAUUAUUUUCACAGCUGGGUAUUAGGUCGAGUGGACCUAAGAAGCGUAUAUCGUGUCUGUGUUUUUAUGUCCCGGGGAGAGUGAGUUUUUGCGCCCCAGCUCAGAGGUAAAGACAAGGGAGUGUCUCUAACUUGAGUAUUUGUGAGUACGUUACCGCAGCAGGUUGACAUCUCAACCCGCGGUCCAAAGUGACAAACUAUUUUCAUAUCUUGGGUAGUAGGUUUAGAAAUACCUACGAAGCGUACUCGUCUGCGUUUUUAUGUCCCGGGGAGAGUGAGUUUUUGCGCCUCGGCCUACAGUGAGAGACAGGUUUUUGUGAGUUUGUGCUGAGGCAGGCUGAGUUUUUGGCCCUCAGUCCAGGGGACGAAGGUUGUACCGUACCUGGAGUAUUAGGUGAGCGGGCUAUUAUAGGGCUUUUCCUAAGAAGCUUACUCGUGUCCGACGUGAAUCACGUCAUUGUUGCGUUUUCGAUACUGUUUUGGGUCAUUAUUGUUGCGUUUGAUAUUGUUCUGAGUCUUUAUUGUUUCGUGUUGGUAUUGUUCUUGAUCGUAUGUUGGCCAGUAACGCGCAUUUAUACUUAUAUAUUAUUAUAUCUAGAUACAGAGUUAGAUGAAAAAUGUGGAUCCUUAAAAAGUCUUAAGUCCUAAAUAAGAUUUUCAGCAUCUAAGGUCUUAAAAAGGUCUUAAAAAGUAUUAAAUUUGAUUCCAAAAAAAAAAUAUGCAGCAAUGUAUGUUUGUUAUAUGAAGUGUACACAAUAUAGUCGAUAGAAUAUAUAACCUAAGUAAUAUAAUAGAAUGAUCAUAGAUAGUAGUAUAAACUGAUUGAGGUUCCGGUCUAAUAGCCUAAGGACUGCGGACACUAUAUGAGCCUGAAAUAAUGGAGUAAGGUUAAAAGAAUUUAUGAUAAAAUAGUAACACACAUAGGAAUAGUUUUCAAAUGUGGGGACUAAAAAUGGUGAAAGAGAGGUUAAGUGAAGAAGGUUAGGAAGGCUGCUAUGUGUUCUCUGCUAGGGAACAAGGUGAGAAUGAGCCUUUAGAGAUACGCUGCUGUACUUAGCUUAUGGUAAUUCAGGGAAUGAAUUGAGUAGAGACAGUGAUGAUUUCCUGACUGUGGUAAUUGAUGGUAGUCUUCCCAUUUUUAGAAACAAAGCAUUGUGGAGAAAUUGGUUAAGCUUUGAGAGAUUGUAGUGAUCUAUUGGGCAUGGGCUGCAUAUAUUUUACGAAAUAGCAUAAGGACGUGGACACCAUAAGCCCCUAAAUAUUCUUAAUUUAUGAGCCCAAGAUAAGGGAGUAACAAUAAAUAAAUAAAUAAAUAAAUUUUAAAAAA